CUCAUUUGAUAUCGUCUGCCCACCCAGUGGGGACACGAUAUCUGCGAGCAAUGGGGAUCCACAGGCAAAACUGAUCUCAGAGUGCGCCACAAGAGGUCUGGCCAAUGCAAGCUGACAUCUUCAUAGUUUCUUGGGAGGUUUCAUAUAAGGAGGUUUUACAUGACAAUUUUUUUAUGGCAUUUGACAACCGGCCGUUUUGUUAGCCGGUUCCACAGAUGAUACUACCUCUAUGGUUGGUUCACUUAUGCACCACUUGCUGGGAUAAAUUGGCAGUGUGGAUCCCCAUUAAUGAAGGACGUGCGGUUCCUUAUUUACCCAUUAACUCGUCUUCGUGAACAAGGUACGAGUAUGUACAUUGUACAUAGUGUCAAAUCAACACGUACCGUGGGAAGGCACCAUCAGCACAGUCUCUAAUUUUAAAUUCAGGGUUGGCUGUGCUGAAAUCUUAGGCCAGACAGACGCAUUUUAUCAGAAAUUGGUACUGAUUCUGAUCCCAAUUAUUUAGAGUACUCUCAUCUUUUUCUACAACGUAUAUAUAAACGCAAUAAGAAAAGGACAGACAGACCUAAUUUAAUUUAGAACUGUCAAACCUUGUGACUUUGCCAGUCGUGAGCCUAUUGUUUAAAGAGUGCACUAAAAUUUAAACUCUUCACAAAAAACUCAUUUUCCAUUCUUUUUUAGCAAUAUUAAAAAGAAAAAGAUGCAGAUAUUUUAAAUUUAGUUCAGAGAAAAACAUCAAUAUCGACGCCACAUUGUCAUCAGAACAUUUUCUGCCCCUUUCACUGCUUAGAAGAAGCGUACAUUCGGCAAAUUCUGACAGUGUGGUGUUUAGUACAAAAUGUAUGAGCAAAGCGCCAUCCGACGCGCUUCCGAAUUUUUUCGGACAGAUAUUUCUGAUAAUAUGCCUCAACAUAAAAUAUUCUUCAAUCAAAUAUCUAGAUAAUAAGAAAAGUUCUGAGAGAAAGCAUUUUGUAUAGCCGAUUAAUAUAAAGCAAUUUGUAAUCAGUUGAAUUGUUUACUUUAUAAUCUUAACAAUACAGUACAUUUUUGAAUGUUGUAGACAGUUGUUUAUAUAGCCGAUUAUUAUGGUCAUGGAAUUAUGGACUCUAUGAUUCUUGAAAUUCAGUACACUUUUAAAUGUUUUAGAUUUUAGUGAGUCCUAUAAAAUAUGUCGGCACUAUAGUUAUAUCCGGUAAGUACCGGCAUUCCUGUAUUAAGCAUUUUAAGCCAAGCUAUGUGAGCUUAUGACUGUGCGAAUUGAAAUACAUAUUUCAUAGUUGAUAAGUACCCUCAUUUUUAUUCAAAACUUAUGAUAAACACAUGAAAAAGUGGGUGUUUUAGCGUGCAUUUCCACUGAAGCGGAGCGGAGUGGAGAUGUGUUCAAUAAUGUCAUUGUUAUGUGACGAUGAAUUUUUUCAUGCCAUCUUUUAAUAAUCUUUGAUUGGUCGAGUACAGCUCCGCUCCACUCCGUUUCAGUGGAGUCGCACUCUUAGGCUAGGACAGUGACUCCCAACGAUGCAACGCACACUGGCAGUGUUGAGCGUGGCGUCUUUUUUGAUAACAACUUAAACUAAGCUAUAUUUUCUUUGAAAUAACGGUUCUCGGUGUUAUGUUUCAAGUACUAAUUUCAACCGUAUAUCUAAGUAAAUAAAGCUGAGUUUAGGUAGUUAUCAAAAUGAAAUGAGAU